rnacentral:rRNA from 1 species
UACGUAGGGUGCAAGCGUUGUCCGGAAUUAUUGGGCGUAAAGAGCUCGUAGGCGGUUUGUCGCGUCUGGUGUGAAAAUCCAGGGCUUAACCCUGGACCUGCAUCGGGUACGGGCAGACUAGAGUGCGGUAGGGGAGAUCGGAAUUCCUGGUGUAGCGGUGAAAUGCGCAGAUAUCAGGAGGAACACCGGUGGCGAAGGCGGUUCUCUGGGCAUGAUCUGACGCUGAGGAGCGAAAGUGUGGGGAGCGAACAGG